GCUAACUCGGGGGAAUCAGGAGAUGAAGGAGGGCUGGACGGGAUCAGCGGAGAUAAAGGAGACUCAGGGGACGAUGGAGAGCUGGACGGGACCAGCGGAGACGAAGGAGAACUUUCUGGAGUGGAUUCUGGGAUUGUUGAUGUCUACUCUU